GGGGUCUUAGCUCAGUUGGUAGAGCGUCUCGUUCGCAAUGAGAAGGUCAGGAGUUCGAGCCUCCUAGGCUCCACCA
rnacentral:tRNA from 3 species